CAUUUUCGGGUUAGCGCUUUCCCCCGCUUGCCCUCGAGGCCUCAGUUCGAGCACUGGGACUUAGAUGCUUCAAGCCGGUUGAGAAACUCUUUGUUUGUCACUAGACUUCAUGGCGGUCGAUUGGGCCAGUCACUCUGAGCCUCGCUGAGUGAAGAGAUGCAACAAAAUCGAAAAUGCUAGCUAUCCCGAGAUGUCUUCUAACCUCUAUGUAUUCUACCUACGUGCCUAGUUAGUCACGAAGAAUAGGGAACAUUGAAACGGUUACGUGUGCUGAUUCAGCGCUGCAUCCUGACUAAGAGUUCUCGUCAAAAAACAUUCGAAUUCUGGAAACAAUACUGGCCUGCCAACACCCUGGAAACUAAUUACUUGUGCGUCCAGCUUCAACACGGAUGCACAGGAUCACUGCAGGAUGCACCGUGACGACAGCGAAGUUACCAGUUUGAUGCGAUGGAUACAAGUGUGAAGUUUCGCUUCUCCAAGCCAUCAAGGAAUACGUUCCCAGUGUCGGAGGAAAUCUGAACACCCAUCGAGAAGCACUGCUUUGGAGAUGGGAACGUUUCCAGAAUACGCAUAAACAAGGCUCGGUAUUCCCUCUGUCAAUCUCCACAAUAUGGAAACAAUGUUUUCAGAAAUACUCAUGAAUCGUGAUGAAUAUUGUUUGGGAUAAUUAAUAUUUUGAA